AUGUGUGAGAGUAAGCAUGAGGGAGGGAUGGGGUUUCGAGAUAUGGAAGCUUUCAACCAAGCUUUACUCGCCAAGCAAGCGUGGAGAUUAUUGCAGGUCCCGUCUUCUCUGUGUGGGCGUGUCCUUAAGGAACGGCACUAUGAUCAUGGUACAAUUCUCAAUGUGACAUGUCCGAGUGGGGCAUCAUAUACUUUCAGAAGUAUUGUGCAUGGU
rnacentral:rRNA from 1 species